ensembl:lncRNA novel transcript
GUCUCUUUGGAUAACAAUCACAGGACCCAGAUGCUAAGGAUGAUGAUGUCCUCUUAAGAAAAGAAGACAGAAACACACAGAGAGAAUGUCAUGUGACAGAAAUUGAAGAGAUGCAGCUUGAAGCCAAGGAAUGCCCAGGAUUGAUGACCACCACUAGAAAUAGGAAUAGUUGAUUGAAUCCAUGGGUUUGGAACCCACAUGCUCAGAAGGAAAAGCAGUUGUACUUUGCCAUGACAGUCCUAGGAAACUAACACAGCGCCCAAUAAAUAGUUGUUUUGCGAAGUAUGAGAAUACAGAGACUUUAUGAAAUAAAGUAUUUGCAAACUUAUUCAAGAGGAUAAAAAGGAUAUUUUACAAAGAAUUGUACAGCGAGUAUCAAGAAGAAAGGCGAUGCAUGUGAAGACGAGAUGCAAAGUCACCUGUUUAUAAAUCCAAAUUAGAGGUUUUCCCAGAAACCGACACUGAAAGCAUCCUGGAUUUUGAGCUUCCAGAACUGGGAAAAUAAGUAUCUGUUGCUUAAGCCACUCAGCGAGUGGUAUUUUGCUCUGGUAGUCCAAGCAGACUAAUGCAACAACUCACAAUUGGUAGUAUUGCAUGAGUGAGAAAAAUAAACGUUUUUUGUUAGUUUAUUUUAAGCCCCUGAGAUUUAGGGACUUUUUUGUUGCCAUGGCACAAUCUAGCCUAGUCUGAUUAAAACAUAGCCAUUUUGCUUAUCUGUUUUACACAAUAUUUGCCAUAAAAUAAACAAAAAUCAAUUUUAUAAUAUAAAAAAGAAAACAAUUUUACUAUCAGUAAAGAAAUAUUAAGAACAAACUAGAUUGUUACUCUAAAAUAGUAUAAUAAAAUAAAUUAUCUAAUUAUCAGAAAAACUUUUGAGUUAAACCACUUCUUAUUUUCUCCUGUACUUUUCUUCUUUGUGUGUGUAUGUGUGUGUGUAUGUGUAAUAUAAAUACUAUGUUCCAUGUAAACCUUGCUGUGACUACAUGUUUCUGCUUCCACUAUUAUUGAUAUAAUUGCCUCUAAACAUUUGCUGCAUUAAUAUUGUUUAAAGAUUUUUGAAGCAGUUCCUCAAGUUUCUGAUUUCUUUUUUAAUUUUGUGACACUGCAUCUGGUUUAUUUGCUUCCAUGUUGGCACUGAUUUUCCCUUAAUUAUCCAGAGAACAAAAGAUUAUCUUUAAUAAAGAAAGAGAAAAUAAUAAAAGAGAAUAUAAAACAUUAGAGGAAAUUAAUCCCCCUCUUUCCACUGAAUGAUAUUUGUAUGAUCUUUUUCCAGAUAUUUUAUUAUAUUCUCUCUUUAAUAAUAGCUUAGUGCUGUUUCAAAAAAUCUUUUUUAACAUUGUCCUCCUUUGCUUGCUUUUAGUUGUCUAUAAUACUUCUGAAUAUUAUGGGAGAAAAAAUAUCUUACCUAAGAUUUUAAUUUUUUUUCAACAAUUUAUAUGCAAUUUGCUCUUAACCUAUGUCCGCAUGUAUCUGUGUCUCUCCCUGUUCCUAAGGUGUGGUUCUCUGGAAUUUUUAUCCCAUGUAAUUUUCUACUGUGUUUCAUUUUAAAUGCAAAUAUAAUACUGAUGGCAUUAGGUAAUUGUGAGGGUUAAAUAAACAGAGCCAAGUCCUUAGUGGAUUUCAUUAAAUACUAGUACUCUUUUGCUUCCUUUUUUCCUUUACCUUAAAGUGAUAGGAAAUCACUUUAAAAUUAUUUUCUUCAGUUAAUAAAUGCUAUCACUUAUUUAAGCUGUUCUUACAUUGUCUCUUUUAUACCACC